rnacentral:rRNA from 1 species
UACGUAGGGGGCAAGCGUUGUUCGGAAUUACUGGGCGUAAAGGGCGUGUAGGCGGUGCGGUAUGUUGGACGUGAAAUCCCCGGGCUCAACUCGGGGCGGUCGUUCAAAACUGCCGUGCUAGAGUGUGGGAGAGGGAAGUGGAAUUCCCGGUGUAGCGGUGAAAUGCGUAGAUAUCGGGAAGAACACCUGUGGCGAAGGCGGCUUCCUGGCCCGCAACUGACGCUGAGGCGCGAAAGCUAGGGGAGCAAACAGG